rnacentral:lncRNA from 1 species
UUUUUGUGGGAAGCUCAACAUUUGAUUUUGGAGUUUUCAACCGGUUCAGUUUCAACCCGUGCUGAGAUGGGUUGCUGAUGUGGAUACCUGGAGGGGCAAUUUCGGUAGAAAAAAUACAGCAGGCUCAGAGUGCAUGAAUCUGAUAUAAGUUUCCACAUUGAAAGAUAUUUUUCAUAUUCCAUAAAUCUGGGUUCCAAAAACCAUAUAUUUAAC